GGCCUGAUGGUCUAGUAGUAUGAUUCCUUGUUAGGGUGUUCGUACAACCAUCGAGGAGGUCCCGGGUUCAAUUCCCGAUCAGGCCC